UACGGAGGGUGCAAGCGUUAUCCGGAUUCACUGGGUUUAAAGGGUGCGUAGGCGGGCAGGUAAGUCAGUGGUGAAAUCCCCAAGCUUAACUUGGGAACUGCCGUUGAUACUAUCUGUCUUGAAUACCGUGGAGAUGAGCGGAAUAUGUCAUGUAGCGGUGAAAUGCUUAGAUAUGACAUAGAACACCAAUUGCGAAGGCAGCUCGUUACACGAAUAUUGACUCUGAGGCACGAAAGCGUGGGGAUCAAACAGG
rnacentral:rRNA from 1 species